GAGAAAACCCUAAAAUCUCUCUUCUCUCCCUCUCGGCCGCAUCCCCUCUCACUCCACGCUCUCUCUCUCUCUCGUCCUCCCACUGACAACGCCAGAAAACCCCCAUCUCCGGCCACCACCUCGCAAAACUACCACCACCCAUCAAUGCUGCACCAAGCUGCGACCCAAACCCACGGCAAAUAGAAACCAUGCAUUGACCUCGACCUCUCUCUUCCACUCUCCUUCUCUCUACCACCACUGGAGACUUCAGCUCCGGCCACCAUCUCCUCAUACCGCCUCCACCAGUCGACGCACCACCCAAACCCGAGGCUUACCGUCCACAUGAAUCGCCUCCAGCCUCCGCACCGGUUCCUCAAAUCAGCGAUGCCACUGCUCGUUGGCUUUCCUUGAUUUCCGACCAUCAGCUCGCCACACCGCCAUCACUUCUCGACUCAGAACUCGCCGGACGUCCAAACCUUGAAUCCUUGUUGACUGCCGAUGCCGGAGAGCACUGUACACGUCUUAUGCCGGAGUCUUAGCUUCUGCUAAGAUGGAUUUGACUCUUCCGAUCGAAAUUGAGCUACGUCGCCUCCAAGGAUGGAAUCAGGGCUUCACGAUCUAUCAAAGCCCUUGACCCCCAACCUCUAGUUCCGACUAGAGCCACCGCGCGUGCUUCACGAGCCGUCGCAGGAGAGUGGGCCACCGUAGCUCCGCCACUCACGGUCGGGGGAUCUUCAGGACUUCUCAGUUAGGAAGUUCAUGGAAUCUGCGUUUUGGAGUUUCAGAGAAGGAGGAGAAUGCUGGGUCAGUUUCAAUUGAAACUGGAAGAGGUAAGGACUAUGUGCAGAUUCUGUGUGGGAUAAGGAAUUGGGAAUCUGAAGGAUUAAUGGUGGUGAAAUGCAGCUUCCACGAUUUGGCUAUCUAAAUUGGAAAAGAACAAGGGACUUGAGCAUGUGCACAUGGAAUUGGACGAAGUAUCCAAAGUCGGAAACGAAGCUAAGUUUGGGCGAACACUCCAUAUCCAGACGCGUAUAUUCCUAGGGAUCCCACGGUGUCGAUAACCGUGAACCUCUGGAGGGGGCUGUGCUCCUAUGUUUGUCGAGGAAAGGUAAGUACAGACAGUGAACCAGUCAUAGGAGACUCAGAGCCAGGAAAUGGACACUUUCGCAACUUGUAGUCACGGGGACUCCAGAGUAGUUGGCCGGUUCUCGAAGGAUGACGAACCAGGUCGGUCACCUAUUUGUUUUAUUCUAGCCGGCAGGUAAGUAUCUCGAAGCUCCAAGUUGUGUGAAACAUAUGGCAUAUGUUUUAUAAAAGAGAAAAAUGUUUGUGGUUGCCUAUUUUAAAUUGUAUUUUCGAUACAUGUGCACAAUAUUAUGUAGUAGAUAUUUUCAAGUAUAUUAUCUUUCAAACCUAGCAUGGUUGGGUCGUCCCCUACUGGGCAUGCGAGGACGAAAGCUCACCCCUACAAUAGUGUGCAGGUUUCGAGGAUGUGGUCGGGGAGCAUAUAGAGGAGGCACAUGCCUGGCUUGGCUUAUUCUUCUUUGAAUGGUUUUGGUCCUUUAUCGGAUUUUGAAGUAACUUGUUUAUUUAACUUCUCACUAAUUUAUUUGUUUAUUUAUUUCCUACUCGUUUACAAAAAUUCUGGGAGACCCGUAACCCUAGGGCGCGUCUCCCAUGCUUGUAAUUACUUAGUGAUUUGUUUUGUUUUCCAAAUUGGGCUCCGAUUGUAAGUCCAAAACUUUUAGCCCAGUUCAAAUUCCGCUUUUGAAAAUGUGUUGUUUGGUUGCUAGAA